CACGAACCAGCCUCCAGUUUAUAGAGUUUGUUUUGUUUUAUUGUUUUGUACGUCUUGCUUGCCUUUAACUUACCGCCGUUUGUUUUGUCUACAGCCAUUCACCCGGAACCCAUAUCCCAUCCAUGUCUGCUCGUCGUCAGUGUGUUGUUAUCCAUUGGAUCUGCCUAUCCACUCCCAUCAACCCACCUCCGCUGCCCGCUCCUCCACCCGGAACUAUCUACCUCCACGUUCUCAUUAAUUAAUAAAUACUCACCAUCUUCU